rnacentral:lncRNA from 1 species
GGUGGUUGCAAACGGCGUCAUGCAAAACCUUCCCUGGAGCUCUUUGCGGAACUUCAAAAGUUUCUUGUGUGUCAUCCAGCAUCUGAAUUUUGAUGGAGAUGAGUUUUCCUGGUGGCGUCAGUGGUGGUUUCUGUCCAUGCUCCAAGGUACUGAUCCCAGCAUUCUCCUGAGCUCCUAACCGGGAUCCUGCUGUUGGCCUCUGCUCUGUUUCACCCAUGUUUAGAGAGAAGUGUU